UACGUAGGGUGCGAGCGUUAAUCGGAAUUACUGGGCGUAAAGCGUGCGCAGGCGGUUCGUUGUGUCGGUGGUGAAAGCCCCGGGCUUAACCUGGGAAUGGCCAUGGAAACUGGCGAACUGGAGUGUGGCAGAGGGGGGUGGAAUUCCGCGUGUAGCAGUGAAAUGCGUAGAGAUGCGGAGGAACACCGAUGGCGAAGGCAGCCCCCUGGGCUAACACUGACGCUCAUGCACGAAAGCGUGGGGAGCGAACAGG
rnacentral:rRNA from 1 species